rnacentral:rRNA from 1 species
GAUGAACGCUGGCGGCGUGCUUAACACAUGCAAGUCGAACGAUGAAGCUGGAGCUUGCUCUGGUGGAUUAGUGGCGAACGGGUGAGUAACACGUGAGCAACCUGCCCCUGACUCUGGGAUAACAGCCGGAAACGGCUGCUAAUACCGGAUAUGCACCAUGAACGCAUGUUCUGUGGUGGGAAAGAUUUUUCGGUUGGGGAUGGGCUCGCGGCCUAUCAGCUUGUUGGUGAGGUAAUGGCUCACCAAGGCGUCGACGGGUAGCCGGCCUGAGAGGGUGACCGGCCACACUGGGACUGAGACACGGCCCAGACUCCUACGGGAGGCAGCAGUGGGGAAUAUUGCACAAUGGGCGAAAGCCUGAUGCAGCAACGCCGCGUGAGGGGUGACGGCCUUCGGGUUGUAAACCUCUUUUAGCAGGGAAGAAGCGAGAGUGACGGUACCUGCAGAAAAAGCGCCGGCUAACUACGUG